AACACAUGCAAGUCGAGGGGCAGCAUUUCUUUUUGCUUGCAAACUGGAGAUGGCGACCGGCGCACGGGUGAGUAACACGUAUCCAACCUGCCGAUAACUCGGGGAUAGCCUUUCGAAAGAAAGAUUAAUACCCGAUAGUAUAAUGAAACCGCAUGGUCUUAUUAUUAAAGAAUUUCGGUUAUCGAUGGGGAUGCGUUCCAUUAGGCAGUUGGUGAGGUAACGGCUCACCAAACCUUCGAUGGAUAGGGGUUCUGAGAGGAAGGUCCCCCACAUUGGAACUGAGACACGGUCCAAACUCCUACGGGAGGCAGCAGUGAGGAAUAUUGGUCAAUGGGCGCAGGCCUGAACCAGCCAAGUAGCGUGAAGGAUGACUGCCCUAUGGGUUGUAAACUUCUUUUAUAUGGGAAUAAAGUUUUCCACGUGUGGAAUUUUGUAUGUACCAUAUGAAUAAGGAUCGGCUAACUCCGUGCCUGCAGCCGCGGUAAUACGGAGGAUCCGAGCGUUAUCCGGAUUUAUUGGGUUUAAAGGGAGCGUAGGUGGACAGUUAAGUCAGUUGUGAAAGUUUGCGGCUCAACCGUAAAAUUGCAGUUGAUACUGGCUGUCUUGAGUACAGUAGAGGUGGGCGGAAUUCGUGGUGUAGCGGUGAAAUGCUUAGAUAUCACGAAGAACUCCGAUUGCGAAGGCAGCUCACUGGACUGCAACUGACACUGAUGCUCGAAAGUGUGGGUAUCAAACAGGAUUAGAUACCCUGGUAGUCCACACAGUAAACGAUGAAUACUCGCUGUUU
rnacentral:rRNA from 1 species